GACAGAGGAGCCAAGCGUUGUCCGGAUUGACUGGGCGUAAAGCGCACGCAGGCGGUCGCGCGCGUGGGGUGUGAAAUCUGGCCCGCUUAACGGCCAGGCGCCAUCCAUACGGCGCGACUGGAGUGAUGCAGAGGUCGAUGGAAUUGCCGGUGUAGUGGUGAAAUGCGUAGAGACUCGGCAGGAACACCCAGGGGGAAACCAGUCGACUGGCAUCUACUGACG
rnacentral:rRNA from 1 species